AGUAAAUAAAAGGUAGAAUACACUAGAUCUCUAUAUAAAGGUUAUUUUGUUGUCAUUUCUACAAGAUUUUGAGACUAAAAGAACAUGAGUUGUGGAGGUGUUUAUGGAGGAGGACAGUUUACAAAGAUAAUUCCCUGGCACCAGUCCACAGAGCCCGUUCCUCUCCACCGUCCACCAGCCGUCCUCCCCCUGCACCAACAGUCGGACCACAUCCCCCCUGCUCACAGACAGCUCGUCCCCCUCCUGCUCAGUCCAUGUGAAGACGUCAAAUGUUGGUGCAGAUCCAGGUGACACAUAGUCGCAGCCUUUUGAAGACGAGCGCUGAGCCGAGUGGGCACUCGGCAAGAAAAAAGGGAAUCUAUCAUUUCACACUGGAAGGAAAUCCAGCCUGGGCAACUAUUGUCCUGAAUAAUAGCCAUCUGUUUUAAGACAAUGCAUGCUGCGAGGAGAGCAGCUCAGGACCGUUUUACGAUUCUGAGGUGUGAGGACCACCCCUUCCCCCCCUGACCCUCUCCGCGUGUGUCUUCACCCAGUGUCCACCUGAGGUCCCAGGACAGCAGUUACGGAGGACGAAUGCUCAGCUCUGCUCUGAUGGCCACCUCUUCGUUAAGCCUGUAUCUUUCACCACGCUGCUGACUCUCCAUACAGCUCGGCUCGUCAGGACGGUGUUGUGUUCUGGUCUCUCCAGGGCUCGGGGGCCAAAGUGAUGCCGCCUCACGUUAACCCCGGGUGAAAGGUUUGGGCUGCACUGUCCACCCCCACACCGCCCCCACCUUCAAACCCACCAGCCGCCCUGCCACCAGAACAGACUGCUGUGCCAGGCUUCCCUCCAGGCCACAGCGCUGCAAAAGUGACAACAUAAGGUCCAUUCUGUUCCCUGUCACUCACAGCCCCAGGCCCACUGUUAAAUGGAAAAGGCUUUUAGAGGCAGUAAAUGGAGGGAGGGAGCGAGAAAUGUCCAAGGAAUGCAGCCAGCAUGCCUUAUUCUCCAACCCCACACAACCAUGGCCCACCCUGCCUCUCCCACCCUCCCCUGUUUUUCCCCGUCUACAAGUUUGGCAAAGCCCAUGACCUCCCAGUGCAGCUCCCUUGGUGACCCAUAAUGGUUUAUUUUGUGUCAAAUCGCAUUUUAGUUUCACUCUCCUCAGAUUUCCAGGACAAAGUUAGCAGUUGUGCAACUCAAGCCUGUCAUGAGCUCAGAUGUUUACAAUGCCUGCAUGCCAUUGUUUGUGACACCUUUCAAAUAAAAGGUAGCCAAGACGGACAGUGUUUACAGGAUGCUGCAAGCUGCCAUGGAGGUGGUUGUUAGUUGUGUCCACUGGGAUGGUGUUUGGAGGCUAAUUUGAUGCUUUUUGAGGUUACCCCUGCCUCCUGUCUGCGGCUCUGAGGUCCCUGCUUUGACGCUUCAUGGUCACCCCAUGCAUUGUGCAUAAUACUUUUGAAAGCUUUGGCGUAAUUGGUGGUGGCCUUCUGUGUUGUACCCAAACAACACUGUCACUUUUUCAAAAUUAUUUUGGGACUGACUUGAUGGAAGCCGAAAAUUUUGGGUGUGAAAAACUGAUCAAAUCAAAACGUUUUUCUUUACUGAUUCUAGAGUUCAUUACAGAGCCUGAGUAUUAACUCGUUGAUGCCGGAAUUUAUUUUCAACAAUAAAAAAAAUAAAAAAA